GCGUAGGUGACCUGCCUGGUAGCGGGGGAUAACUAUUGGAAACGAUAGCUAAUACCGCAUAAUAGCAGUUAUUGCAUGAUAACUGUUUGAAAGGUGCAAUUGCACCACUACCAGAUGGACCUGCGUUGUAUUAGCUAGUUGGUGGGGUAACGGCUCACCAAGGCGACGAUACAUAGCCGACCUGAGAGGGUGAUCGGCCACACUGGGACUGAGACACGGCCCAGACUCCUACGGGAGGCAGCAGUAGGGAAUCUUCGGCAAUGGACGGAAGUCUGACCGAGCAACGCCGCGUGAGUGAAGAAGGUUUUCGGAUCGUAAAGCUCUGUUGUAAGAGAAGAACGAGUGUGAGAGUGGAAAGUUCACACUGUGACGGUAUCUUACCAGAAAGGGACGGCUAACUACGUGCCAGCAGCCGCGGUAAUACGUAUGUCCCGAGCGUUGUCCGGAUUUAUUGGGCGUAAAGCGAGCGCAGGCGGUUAGAUAAGUCUGAAAUUAAAGGCUGUGGCUUAACCAUAUUACGCUUUGGAAACUGUUUAACUUGAGUGCAAGAGGGGAGAGUGGAAUUCCAUGUGUAUCGGUGAAAUGCGUAGAUAUAUGGAGGAACACCGGUGGCGAAAACGGCUCUCUGGCUUGUAACUGACGCUGAGGCUCGAAAGCGU
rnacentral:rRNA from 1 species